AUGUAGGAUGGUGGCAUCUCUUCAUCCUAACAAAUGUCAAACGAACAAGGCUAAAAUUCAAGAAGAGAACAUGCGUAUGGUCCAGCCACAAAGAUUGCGCGAUACUGAAGCAAAAGUUGUACCUCUUCAACUUUUUUUAGCUUUCCAUCCAAAUCCAUGAUCACUGCAAGGCGAAUCUCUCUCUCUCUCUCUCUCUCUCUCUAUUUGUUGUGGAGGAUGGAGUCGGCUCGGCAUUCAAGUGAGGACUCGGCCAGUGGCAUAGAUUCGCUAUGAUUCAAGGACGUCGUGAAGCCGCGGCAAAAGUUUCCACUUCGUAUUCUCAUCAGCCCAUCUUUAUCUUUAGCACCAGCGACAAAGAGAAUCUGUCAGUGGGAGAGAGAAAUGGCGGUGGAAUUUAAUCACAAGUGAAACAGAAAACUCCGACCGAGAACAACGGACGAGCGCAACAAACCAACGAGAGAGAAAGAAGAAGCGGCGGCGAUGUCGCGUCGGGUGCUGAGGGUGGCGGCGGACGGGAGCGGGGACUUCCGAACCGUCCAGGAGGCGAUCGAUGCAGUGCCGCAGUCGAACCGGGUGCGGACGGUGAUCCAGGUGGCGCCGGGGUUCUACCGGGAGGCGGUGUACGUGCCCAAGACCAAGAACCUCAUCACCCUCGCCGCCUCCCAGCCCGAGACCACCAUCCUCUCCUGGGACAACACCGCCACCCGCAUCAACCACCACCAGUCAUCUCGUGUGAUCGGCACGGGGACCUUCGGAUGUGGGAGCACCAUUGUCGAAGGAGAAGACUUCAUUGCUGAGAAUAUCACCUUCGAGAAUUCUGCCCCCAGGGUUCGGGGCAGGCCGUCGCGAUCCGAGUGACAGCGGACCGGUGUGCCUUUUAUAAUUGCAGGUUUCUUGGAUGGCAGGAUACCUUGUAUUUGCAUUAUGGAAAACAAUAUCUGAGAGAUUGUUAUAUUGAAGGAAGCGUGGACUUCAUCUUUGGGAAUGCUACUGCCCUGCUGGAACAUUGUCAUAUCCAUUGCAAGUCUGCAGGAUUUAUAACUGCUCAAAGUAGAAAAUCUUCCCAAGAACCAACUGGCUAUGUGUUUUUAAGAUGUAUUAUUACUGGGACUGGCAGCAGUUCAUAUUCAUAUCUUGGGCGGCCAUGGGGUCCUUUUGGAAGAGUUGUUUUAGCAUACACAUGGAUAGAUUGCUGUAUUAAACCUGUAGGGUGGCAUAACUGGGACAAGCCUGAGAAUGAGAGAAAUGCCUGUUUUUAUGAGUACAGAUGCUUUGGGCCUGGAUGCUGCCUUUCGAACCGAGUUACAUGGGCUAGAGAAUUGCUUGAUGAGGAAGCUGAACAGUUUCUCCUGCACUCAUUUAUUGACCCAGAUCCGGAGAGGCCUUGGCUUGUACAGAGAAUGGCAGUCAAAUUACCAAUAUCUGCGUGAGGUUAUGUAAGAUUCCGCAGAAGAUGUGCCCUGGUUGAUACGUCCACGUAUGAUAUUUAGUCCUGUUUAACUAGUCAGAUCGGGUGGAACAAACAUAUGCUUAUUUUACUUGGAAAUAGUAAUUAUGAUUAAUGUUAACCUUUUUAUUACGGUGUUCAACUGGUUGAACCCAUACUCUUAUUUAAAUAUGAAUAGAGGGCAUGACUGGAUGAUUUAUAAUAUAUUCUCUUGAGCAGAAUAAAAUUGGCGGCAAACAUAUUCAGGUU